AGCUAAGGUCCCAAAGUCAUGGUUAAGUGGGAAACGAUGUGGGAAGGCACAGACAGCCAGGAUGUUGGCUUAGAAGCAGCCAUCAUUUAAAGAAAGCGUAAUAGCUCACUGGUCGAGUCGGCCUGCGCGGAAGAUGUAACGGGGCUAAACCAUGCACCGAAGCUGCGGCAGCGACACUAUGUGUUGUUGGGUAGGGGAGCGUUCUGUAAGCCUGCGAAGGUGUGCUGUGAGGCAUGCUGGAGGUAUCAGAAGUGCGAAUGCUGACAUAAGUAACGAUAAAGCGGGUGAAAAGCCCGCUCGCCGGAAGACCAAGGGUUCCUGUCCAACGUUAAUCGGGGCAGGGUGAGUCGACCCCUAAGGCGAGGCCGAAAGGCGUAGUCGAUGGGAAACAGGUUAAUAUUCCUGUACUUGGUGUUACUGCGAAGGGGGGACGGAGAAGGCUAUGUUAGCCGGGCGACGGUUGUCCCGGUUUAAGCAUGUAGGCUGAUUGUCCAGGCAAAUCCGGAUAAUCAAGGCUGAGGUGUGAUGACGAGGCACUACGGUGCUGAAGUAACAAAUGCCCUGCUUCCAGGAAAAG
rnacentral:rRNA from 1 species